CACUCAGUGAUCGCACUCAACACAGACGCUCACCAUGGAGACUGGGCUGCGCGGGCUUCUCCUGGUCGCUGUGCUCAAAGGUGUCCAGUGUCAGGAGCAGCUGGUGGAGUCCGGAGGAGGCCUGGUCACGCCUGGGGAAUCUCUGAAACUCUCCUGCAAAGCCUCUGGAUUCAUCAUCAGUAGCAGCUACUGGAUGUGCUGGGUCCUCCAGGCUCCAGGGAAGGGGCUGGAGUGGAUCGGAUGCAUUUAUACUUGUGAUGGUAGCACAUACUACGCGAGCUGGGUGAAUGGCCGAUUCUCCAUCUCCAGAGAGAACACCCAGAACACGGUGUCUCUUCUAAUGAACAGUCUGACAGCCGCGGACACGACCCUGUAUUACUGUGCAAGACAGAUUCUGACCCUGCUGAUUCUCGACGUGGAGAAGUUUGAUGUGAACAGGAGAAGUCCUAUAUGA